rnacentral:rRNA from 1 species
GCUAAGCCAUAAACAUUGACAGUUAAAUAUACAAUACUUUCCGCCAGAGAACUACAAGUGAAAAACUUAAAACUCAAAGGACUUGGCGGUGUCCCACAUUCGACCUAGAGGAGCCUGUCCUAUAAUCGAUACUCCCCGCUCUACCUCACCAGCACUAGCACCAACUUCAGCCUAUAUACCGCCGUCGACAGCUUACCCCCUGAGGGUUUAACAGUAAGCACAAUAGUCCUACCACUAACACGUCAGGUCAAGGUGUAGCUAAUGUGCUGGCAGAGAUUGGCUACAUUUUUUAUUUUAAAAAACACGAAAUGCUAUAUGAAAAACAGCAUGAAGGCGAAUUUAGUAGUAAAACAGACAAGAGAGUCUGCUUUAACAACGCUCUGGGACGCGUAC